GACAGAGGCCUCAAGCGUUAGGCGGAAUCACUGGGCUUAAAGCGUGUGUAGGCGGAUCGUUAAGUGUCUUGUGAAAUCCCACGGCUCACCCGUGGAACUGCUGGGCAUACUGGCGAUCUUGGGCCAACUAGGGGCAACUGGAACAAGCGGUGGAGCGGUGAAAUGCGUAGAUAUCAUUUGGAACGCCAAUGGUGAAAACAGGUAGCUGGGAGUGUGCUGACACUGAGACACGAAAGCCAGGGGGGCGAACGGG
rnacentral:rRNA from 1 species